CGGGCGGGGCACGUUCCUUGUCCCUGGAUUGACUUUUCCCGGUCUUUACUCGCUGUGCCCGGGUGCCCGGCCCGUGCCGUGGGGUCAAGGCCCCAUCGCAGAGCAUGGCCGGGCGAGUUUGGUUCCUGCCCGCCGGAGCCGUUUCGCUUGGACGGAGGUGUCUAGCCUGUAGAGGCAUGGUGCGGUCAAAUACCCGAUAACUCCUUUACAGGGUGGCGGAAUUUGUCUCUUGGGGUAUUUGGUGUCUCCGAGAGGACAGCUGGGGGUGUGUCAGACACCCCUUUUGGAAGCAGCUCGCUCUCCUUCUCGGGGUUGUGUAUGUGAGGAUGGAAAUAUGAAAUAAAGUUUUGUUUGUAGAAGA